GAAGUAAAAGUCGUAACAAGGUUUCCGUAGGUGAACCUGCGGAAGGAUCAUUAUCCAUCUCACCAGAUGCGGUCGCGGCCCUCGGGGGUUCUCUCCCGGGUGGUAGGGGUAACACCCUCACGCACCGCACUUCUGAAUCCUUUUUUUACGAGCACCUUCGUUCUCCUUCGGCGGGGUAACCUGCCGUUGGAACCAACAAAACCUUUUUUGCAUCUAGCAUUACCUGUUCUGAUACAAAUAAUCGUUACAACUUUCAACAAUGGAUCUCUUGGCUCUGGCAUCGAUGAAGAACGCAGCGAAAUGCGAUAAGUAGUGUGAAUUGCAGAAUUCAGUGAAUCAUCGAAUCUUUGAACGCACAUUGCGCCCCUUGGUAUUCCAUGGGGCAUGCCUGUUCGAGCGUCAUCUACACCCUCAAGCUCUGCUUGGUGUUGGGCGUCUGUCCCGCCUUCGUGCGCGGACUCGCCCCAAAUUCAUUGGCAGCGGUCUUUGCCUCCUCUCGCGCAGCACAAUUGCGUUGUAAGGGGGCGUAGUUCGCAUCCACGAAGCAACAUUACCGUCUUUGACCUCGGAUCAGGUAGGGAUACCCGCUGAACUUAAGC
rnacentral:rRNA from 1 species